UACUAGAGUAGCACUCGCAUAUCAAUAAGCGGAGGAAAAGAAACUAACAAGGAUUCCCCUAGUAACGGCGAGUGAAGCGGGAAGAGCUCAAAUUUGAAAUCUUAAGGGGUUUCCCUUUACGAAUUGUAGUUUAAAGAAGUGUUUUCUGUUGAGGUUUUGGUAAAAGUUCUUUGGAAUAGGACAUCAUAGAGGGUGAGAAUCCCGUAUUUGACCUUUACUUUCAACUUUGUGAUACACUUUCAAAGAGUCGGAUUGUUUGGGAAUGCAGUCCAAAAUGGGUGGUAAAUUUCAUCUAAAGCUAAAUAUUGGCGAGAGACCGAUAGCGAACAAGUACCGUGAGGGAAAGAUGAAAAGAACUUUGAAAAGAGAGUUAAACAGUACGUGAAAUUGUCAAAAGGGAGGCGUUUGACACCAGUGUUGUUUUUCUGAAAAUCAAUUAAAGAACUGUUUAUGCUAAGCUGUUUAGACUUUAUCAGCUAUCUGUUUAGUUUUGAGCUUUUCUUUAAUGCACUUUUCAGUUAACAAGUCAACAUCAAUUUCUUUUGCUGUAAAAAAGCUUGAGGAAGGUGGCUUGAGAUUCGUCUUAAGUGUUUAUAGCCUCUUGCCUAUGCAGUCGGAGAGAUUGAGGUCUGCAGCGUAGAUCCUUCGGGGCUAAAUGCAUUUGUGCUAAGUUAUAGCAUUUUAUAGACAACUUGUUGACUAUGAUUUGUCUUGUAGCUUACUCGCUUAUGUUAUUUUACCUACGCUUAGGAUGUUGAGCGCAUGUCUCUCUC
rnacentral:rRNA from 1 species